AACGGCCAUACCAUGCUGAAUAUACCGGUUCUCGUUAGAUCACCGAAGUCAAGCAUCAUUGGGCGCGGUCAGUACUUGGGUGGGUGACCACUUGGGAAUACCGCGUGCCGUU
rnacentral:rRNA from 1 species